CAUCAGACUGAACAGUGUAACUCCAUGCAUGACAACCUAAAGAGAGUCAGGCAGGUCAUUCACUUCACACAAGAAUGUGAUGCUAUAAGCAGGAAGGUGAGUGUUGCUAAACAUAGAAUUACGGGGCUAGAGUGAUCUCGAGCCGUCUCAUCCAGUCUCCUGCUCUAAAUGUGCACUGCAGUGUAAUGUACCUUGGGAGUGGAGAAAAUAAUACAAAAUCUGUAGCAGAGGGCAGUCAGGCAAGGUCGAGAGCAGCUGGUUGGCUUCUAACUUUUACCUUUGGAAACAAGGAACUGUUUGGUAAUUUGCAGGUUGCCUGUGGAAGCAAUGGAUCAUGUGAUGCCAAAGGUUGGCAGGAGCUGGGACCAAGCAACAGGAGCUCACCCCGUCACAGGGAUUCGAACCGCCGACGUUCUGAUCAGCAAGCCCUAGGCUCAGUGGUUUAACCACAGCGCCACCUGGGUCCCCCAGCAAAGCUACCGGAGGAGGACCGGAGUGGAGAAAUGGCAGCUGUGGUGAUUUGGGUUCACCUUUAACCAAAACACAAAAGGUUUCAUGGGAGGAGGCCUAAUCUCUAGCCUUGUGUCUAGCUGACAGCUGGCAAUGUUUCUUUGCUGUGCAUGCUACCCACAGGUUUUGGGGUGACAAUAUCAAAGACAUAGCUUUCUUCCCAAAGCCACAUCUUGCUUCAGUCCCCUUCCUUGAAAAGAACCGUCUCAAACUGCUUAUUUAAGACCCACUGGAGAAAAAGCUUUUUGUUGUACGUACGUUUAAUCGGAGUAGGCAGUCCAUGGAAUGUGUGUGAGGCGUGAUGAACAACAUUUGGAGCAACAAAUAAAUGAA